UACGUAAUAAAUACAGACAUUUUUCGUAGAUAUUUACGUGUUAUUCUGUCUUGGGGUCCGGAUAUUUUCCUCAGUAACCUGUUUUGAAGCUCCCUUAAUAUAUUCUCUCAUUUGUGUGUGAGAGCCCAUAUAAUUAGUGAUCUUAAAAACAGAAACAUUACGAUUCUAAUAACGUAUUUCAAUUCAAUUAUUUCAUUAUCUGUCGUCCUUAUGCGUCUCAUUGUUCAUGUCUCUUAAGGCCUGUUUACAUGUUGGAAAAACUUGUUUCAAUGGCGAAUGAGAGAAAGGACUAUCGAGGUCACCUAACAACAUCUCCUAAGGUAACUUUUUUACUGUAGCAAAGUAUUCUGAGAUCAGCUUCUAAGGACGGCGGUUUAAUGAACGUGAUAGGCCAAGAUGAGUUACAUAAUCGUUGAGAAGCUCCUAUAUCCUAUCCGGAGUAAACAUUUCCGAUCCCCAUUUCUUGGGCGCUUUGAGUGGGUGUGAUGAAAUAGGUCAUUUGUGCAAAGCUUAGUUUCACAUAAAUGGAAUUAAUGUUAGCGAUUUAUUUUUAUAGGAGAGUCAGUAGAUUCCAUCGCCGUGAUAGACGACAACUUCACUGUCACUUGGGUGUGGCGUGUAGCCUAAACGAGGUCAGUAGGCGCUCUGAUUGUACAGCGUUAUGAACAUCUCGUGUCACGUAAAGUCCCUCCCUAUCUACCCCCUCCACUUGACCUUCUGCGCGAGAGGGGAGGGCGAAUCAAGGUCGGUGUCAUUAGCGAAAGUAUUAUUAUUGUUAGAAUAUUAUAUUUAACGACGUUGUUUCAACUGCAGUAUGUACGUAGCGUGAUAUGAGAUGAAGAGUUUUAUUAGAGUCAUAAGGUCGUGGCCUAUGAUAAUAUCCCGAAAAUCAGUUGAAUAGAUUGAACGAUGAACACAUUCAUUGUAGGACAGCCUAUGGUCUGGUCGGUAUUCGAAGUGGAUUACUUCUAAAUGCAAAGCUGAAGAGUUGCUUGCCGCCAUGCUUAUCGAAACGUCGUGAUUCUCUGCUUCUUGUGCCGGAGGAUCUCAUUCUGAUCUUGGUUCGCAGAGGUUUUUCUCAGUUCCUCCGCGAAAAUUCUGGAAUACUAAUUAAUUAUUUCUUUCCAUAACCUUAAUAAUCGUGUCGUUUGCCGCUGUGUAGUCGGAACUACUGACAAGCGUCGUUAAAUAAAGUGGAGACGUUCAGAUUUCAAUCCAUGAUAAGCAGCGUCCCUUAAAAGGGCCAACGAUGAACGAAACUGUCAUAAUAGUUUUAUUGUUGUCUGUGUAAACACGAAAAGUGUCGCUUUCCGCUCUCCGCCUCUAGACGACACAAAUUAAUUUUAAGCUCUAACAAUCGGCUGUAAUAUGUUCGUGGUUGAUUGGAUCUCGUGCAUGACGCAGUGAAAAUUUUGUGACCUUUAUUCAAGUUUCGUUUACUUUAACGGCCCGCGUGACGUCUGUGGUAGAACACACGGGAGAGGUACAUUCUGUUCGUUAAACUGCGUGUUUGUUUGUUUCUUUGUUUGUUUGUUCCAUUUGUAUGUUGUUUAACGGCGUUACUUCGCGUGAACCUUUUAUUUUCCGUCGGACAGAGAGUACUUUCGCCUACAAAUAAGAAGCAUAAUGCUUGUUCAUAUUCUUUGUGGAAUUAUUUAUUUCAUAUGUUAAUCCCCCACCAUCUUUCUUCAUUUCUUUUAUACUUUUCGUAUCUUUUCCCUUCCUUCUUCCUAUCAUGUUCGUAUCGGUACAAUAACGCGAUGUAUCAGACUUGACUUCGACGUUCUCGUAACAAGUUUCAGAAUUGCCUCUAAAAGAUUAUUAAUGAUAGCAGCACUUUUAUAAAAUAUAACAUUUUACGAAAAUGUCCGUCUUCAGACUCACCCCCCCGUGAAAAUUGGCCACGGCUUCCCACUUUACUUCGAUUCUCGUUAAGAAUAUUAAUUUCGUGUCUCGAUCUGAGCACCACUAAUCAAACCUUGACUAAUAAAUGCGAGCUAAACGUUUUAGUACACAGUGCGGUAUGUCUCCAGAUACUAAAUGACGGUGCUUUGCUCCGACUGGUUUAAAGUGUUUGCACAGUGCUUGGUGUUUGCUAGAUAAUUACGUGAACUUGCUUUUCUGAAAUCUAGGCACUCGUCAGUGAUUGAAUUUCAUUCUUAUUUCGAAAGGGCAAACUCAUUCCAACAAUAUUGUGUUAAUUACGAAACCAUGGCAACAAACAUCAGCCAUAACUGCGUUACUAGUUACGAACUCCUACUGACAGACAGUCAUAACAGAAAAGAGAGUACAUUACAUGCAGUCAACGUCAAGGUUGUCCAGCGGCUUAUUUUUCAAAAGUAACAGCCGAGUUUCGAGAAAUAAGGCGACUUAGUGUUGGUGUGUCAGAUGUGACGUCUUCAGGGAGGAUGAUGGUGCUCUGGGUUCUGCUUUCUAUUUGUCGACGCGUCUACAUGGCGCCAAAACCAAGAAGAUCAUAAUCAUCGUUUUCCUUCGUAAUUCUCCCUCUAUUAUCCCUCUGACUACUUCAGUAACAACGCAAAUAAUCACUUCACUCAGAGUUGGCCACUAACAGAGUGUUCUUUUGUGAGGACGAAAGGUGGUCGAAGCACUGGCUGGAGGUAUUAUCCAGCUUCAAGGCCACCAGACAAAAGAGUGUGAAGGAAAAUGUAAAGAUGCCUCAUUCUUAAGGCAUUUAGCGACGCCAUUUCAGCUGCAAAGCUUAUAUGUCAUCGAUUGAGAGGAGAUAAUGAAUAUGACAGCCUUCCGGAAUGUAGUCUCAUAGAAGUUUACUGACGUUUCGGAGGUGUGUAUUGUCUACUUCAUCGCCCUGGUGAUGGAGGCCGUACGCAAAAUAUUCCAGAAGGCUAUCAACUUCAAACUCAUCCUGGUAAAGGUUUGAUCGCGGCCUGUACUGAAGUACUGUCCCUGUAUUGUACUGGAAAGACUGGAGAAAAUCAUGAAAUUUCUUAGUCAGGGUAGUCAUUAACCCUUCCGGAAUAUUGAUAGUUUCUUAUUUGUUCUUGCAUUUGUACGCUAAUUUGAGGCUGUCGUCUGUAAUGUAAGCAGAACGCACUAUGGUUCUUGAACCCGUUAGGGAUACUUAAAAUAUUUUAGAGAUUCGCUCGGAAAAGGAGAGUAAGUUGUGUGUUGAUGCGUAAGGAAGCCCCAAAGCCAUGUAUUUCUGUCGUAUUUGCUUUGAAAUGUUUUUAAAUGUGGGAAACAUUUAAAUAAAUACGAAGAAAGCUAGUUUUGCACUCAGUACAGGUUAUCUGCAGUGUGUUCAAUUUUGUAACAGGUUUUAUUUGCAGUAAAUGAACAAGAGGACUCAUGAGUCAUGGUAAGUAGCAAAGAACGCGUUUGGAGAUGUGUCUACUGCAGUGGGUUUAAGUUUCAACGCGUGUGUGUGUACAUUUUGUUAGGACACUCGGAUGACUGACAUCUGCGGAGAUUCGAAAGCCUGAGCAAAAACACGUUACUAAAAGACCUCCGGAGACAAAAUAAAACUCAAAAACAUCGUCAGGGCGGAAACAUGUGGCUGUUGUAUCAGUGGAGAUUUCUGUGAAACGUUACAACCCGGUGUAUCAAAAUCUUGUCUCCGAUGUCAGUUUUGUGGGCUUUUAAUAAUAAAUUGAACGUGAAAAAUAACUACUACGUUCUUCCGCUUGUCUGUCCAUCUGUCAGCUAGUUGAGGAGCGCCUUGCAUGAACGCAGAAUUAUAAUAAAUUUACACCGAAAAUCUUUACUGCAUUUCUAGGAAUGGAUUGCGUAUUUGGUUUGAUUGAUUCUUAGGUUAUUUAGGUGCAGUGGCGUUGAUUUCGUAUUUAUUUUGCAUAUGGCUUAUUUAACGACACUGUUAGUAGGUUAGUGAAAUUAGUUGUGGAUUAAUAACGUGCCAGAACCUUUUAGGUUUUAGACUGUCGCUUGAUAAAAUUCAUUUGUCUGGUACCAGCUCCUGCCCUUUUGACGUUUGCAUAUGCAGUGUAGCCAUAAUAACUGAAGGUUAUUCCUCGCACACAUUUUACAAGUGGCGAACAAGGCAGUGUGCCGUAUUUCAGCACGCAAUGGAAAACGCUUUUGUUAUUUUCAGAUGUCGUAGAUUGUUACCUGGGUUACUUAACAAUGCCGCCAACUGUUCCGUUAUGAACGGUGACCUUAUGUCACGGAACAAAAACCCAUCACCUGCUUGAAAUUCUUCAGCCUUCGUUAAGAAACAAGCGUAAAUUAUUAAGUAAUAAUUAUACAACUUAUUGGUCUUAUGUUUAUGAUUUUUGCACUAAAAAUAAUCAUAUGUAUUUGUAAAAGCGUCGAUAAGUGAACCAAGAAUCAUUAUUUUUCCCAGAUAGCUGAAAAUUAAGAAGCUCCACGUAAUUGAAUCGAGUUCACAUCUCACAUGUCCGCUAUCUUGAUGUUAUUUGUUGUCUUUCCAUCUCAUUUAACGCUCUCUCUCUCCACGGCAGAGUCGUUAAAUAACAAGAUAAAUCAAUAAAUUCAGCAAUUUUUAUUUAUAAAA